GCAUUAGUGGUGUAGCGGUAACAUUGGGUCUUCCCAUGGCCUAGCUCCGGGUUCGACUCCCGGCUGAUGCA
rfam:Paxillus involutus ATCC 200175 unplaced genomic scaffold PAXINscaffold_30, whole genome shotgun sequence.